UGGGGAAUUUUGGACAAUGGGCGAAAGCCUGAUCCAGCAAUGCCGCGUGUGUGAAGAAGGCCUUCGGGCUGUAAAGCACUUUUGUCCUGAAAGAAAUCCUUGGCUCUAAUACAGUCGGGGGAUGACGGUACCGGAAGAAUAAGCACCGGCUAACUACGCGCCAGCAGCCGCGGUAAUACGUAGGGUGCAAGCGUUAAUCGGAAUUACUGGGCGUAAAGCGUGCGCAGGCGGUUUGCUAAGACCGAUGUGAAAUCCCCGGGCUCAACCUGGGAACUGCAUUGGUGACUGGCAGGCUAGAGUAUGGCAGAGGGGGGUAGAAUUCCACGUGUAGCAGUGAAAUGCGUAGAGAUGUGGAGGAAUACCGAUGGCGAAGGCAGCCCCCUGGGCCAAUACUGACGCUCAUGCACGAAAGCGUGGGGAGCAAACAGGAUUAGAUACCCUGGUAGUCCACGCCCUAAACGAUGUCAACUAGUUGUUGGGGAUUCAUUUCCUUAGUAACGUAGCUAACGCGUGAAAGUUGACCGCCUGGGGAGUACGGUCGCAAGAUU
rnacentral:rRNA from 1 species